rnacentral:rRNA from 1 species
UACGAAGGGGGCUAGCGUUGCUCGGAAUGACUGGGCGUAAAGGGCGCGUAGGCGGAUGGCACAGUCAGAUGUGAAAUUCCCGGGCUUAACCUGGGGGCUGCAUUUGAUACGUGUUGUCUGGAGUGAGGAAGAGGGUCGUGGAAUUCCCAGUGUAGAGGUGAAAUUCGUAGAUAUUGGGAAGAACACCGGUGGCGAAGGCGGCGACCUGGUCCUUUACUGACGCUGAGGCGCGAAAGCGUGGGGAGCAAACAGG